AAUACUGUUUCAAACAUGGCCGGAUCAUAUCAGCAUCAGUUCUGAGGCAUGGUCCUCAAGAUUGGGUCAACCAUGCUUAUUGAACUCUAGAUCAAUUAAGUCAAGGUUCUACCCAAUAAUAGUUACAAAAUGGGUUUAACUUAGAAGGGGAAGAUGUUGACUAGAUAGGCAAUUUAUCUUUUAUCAAAAGCUUUUUGGUCACCUCUUGAGAGAGACAGAUAGACAAAGAGAUAGACAAAUACAUGUAGAGAGAGAGAGAGAGAG
rnacentral:lncRNA from 1 species